GUAAUUUCCCCCACCCAGGUAUCUCUGCUAACCUUUUCCCAACUAAUUUCUAGGAAAAUGGAAGGUUAAUUCUGUCUUUUCCACAAACGAAAAGAUUUUCCAGGGAAAGGAAAUAUGGCUUGCAGUGUUGGCAAUGUGCUCCGUUUCUUCUUCCCCUUCUCUCUCUUUUUGCAGUUAGUUAAGCUGCUCCAAUCUCUUCACCUACUCUUUAGCAAACACCAAAUUAAAUUACCUUAAUAAGUAUUUUAUUAAUUGUAUACAAUUUUUUUCUUCUUUUUAUUUCCUUCAUUCAAGUUAGUUUUAUAAAUUAUACUAUAUAUGUUGCUGCUGCUGGUUGUACAUAGCUCUUCUUCUCUUUCCUUUUUUUUUUCUUGAAUUUUUUAGAGCAAAAAUCGAAAAUGCCUCUGGUUAGAGCUCAGGUGAGGAAUGAGUACGGGCUUGGUCAACCGGAGCUUUACAAGGAAGUCAAUAGAGAAGAUCCAAAAGCUGUUCUCGACGGCAUCGCCGUCGCCGGCCUCGUUGGGAUCUUGCGCCAGUUAGGCGAUCUUGCUGAAUUUGCAGCAGAGGUUUUUCAUGGAUUACAAGAGCAAGUAAUGAGCACAGCUUCUAGGAGUCAUAAAUUGACGAUUCGUGUGCAACGGAUUGAAGCUGCGCUUCCGCCUCUUGAGAAGGCUGUUCUUGCCCAGACUAGUCAUAUUCACUUUGCUUAUACAGCUGGUUCUGAAUGGCACCCUCGGAUUCGGAAUGAGAAAAAUCUUUUCAUUUACAAUGACUUGCCACGAUUUAUUAUGGAUUCCUAUGAAGUUUGUCGCGACCCUCCACAUCUACACUUGCUUGACAAAUUUGAUGCUGGUGGCCCAGGAUCUUGUUUACAGAGAUAUUCUGAUCCAACCUUCUUUAAGCGAGCUUCAGGUAGCUCCAUUGAAGAAGAUGUUGAGAAAGUCCAAAGAGAUAAGAGGAGUCGUAAAAGCAAGAAAAGAAGAUCGUCCCACAGGAAUGGCAAACUAUUACGUGGUGCAUCAUUAUCAAGUUGCAGUGGCAGAAUGCAGUUUACUUCUGUACUUGCUAAUGGGCGAACUUCCUCUCAAAAUGCAUCAACAGUUGAUAUGGCACCGAAAUCUGAUAUGGGAGAGCAUUCAAGUUCUUUUGAUUCAAGAACUGGGUCUGGAUAUAUUGAAUGUGCUUUCAAUCUUGGUUCAUCCAUGCUAGAGGAAUUGGAACCCAAGCAAUUCUCCUCUAAGCUGAUGCAAGAAACAGAUACCCUUGGUUCCAAUUUUCCUGUUGAUCAAACUCGGGUUCUAGAUGAUAAUUUUUCACGUAGUUCAUCACAAGAGCAGAUUGUCCCUAGUUUAUCUUGUGUAACAUGGGAUGAAAAGGCAGAAAUAGUGGAGUCCAAAGCAGGAAAUCGGGAUAUAGAUGAAGUUCCAGAGAUGAACUUUGAUGUAGAUGUGCAGGAAAUUGGAAUUGCCAAUGCCGGAAAUGGUGACCAAGUGCAUAUCCCCUUUAAUGAUGUGGAUGCUCCCCAAGCAAGCAUUAUUGAGAACCAAAAUGAUGAAAUUGAAAGUGAACCAGACAAUUACAUGGAUGCACUGAACACAAUAGAGUCGGAAUCUGAAAAUGAUAUUGAGUGCCAUAGAAAACAAGAAGUGGAACAGUGUUCUGAAAAUGAUAUCGAGUGUCAAAGAGAACUGGGAAUGGAACGGAGUGAAGAUACUAACAACAUUAGUAAUGAGAAUAGAGAAGAUGAAGAGGUUGUUAUGGAUGAUAACGUGGACAGUACUUCAUCUAUAAUUGAACCGUCUGCCUCAUCCAAUAUUAUUUCUAGCAAUGGGAUGUCUGGGAGUUCAUCUGAUCCAGUAGCCUCUGAGAAUAUUCCCUGUGAACAGGUGCCUCAAAUCUUAGGCAAAUCUUCUGACCCUGAUCGUACAUCAAAUACUGGUUUAUGCAUAAGUGAGGAAAUCUGUAAUGGCUCACAAGCGGAAUUUGUCAUCAGUGAUCCAUCACCAUCCUCUGGCUCCACAGUUUCUGAUAUGCAUGAUCCAGCCGGAGAUAGGAUCAUGAACAGUGUUAAUGACUCUCAAAACUCCCAGACUGAAUCUUCUGUGCAUUCAGUUGGGUUCUGGACAAAUGGUGGCCUUUUGGGACUUCAGCCAUCAAAACCUCCUGAUUUUGCUGUAUCAACUGUAGGUCAGGGUUCUGCAGCUACAACUAGUGAAGUAUUUGGUCCUCCAAAUCAAAUACUUAUGUCUUUGCAAGAUGGACUCAAAGGAAAUGCAGGCACUGUGGUUGAGAAUGCUAAUUUAGAUGCAAACCUUGGAAGACCUGUUAAUUCUCAUUUUAAUGAUAAUCUUGAUAAUUUAAAUGGUGUUGGCUCUAGCCUAAAUACCUCAUUGCCACAUGGAAACAAGAACCCGGUCAAUCCUAACAUCAAAGCUACAUCUAUUGAAUCUGAUGAGGAGGAGGAUGACAAGUCAUCUAGGAUGUUUGGACUUGGCCAUAAAUUACUUGUAAAUGGUUUUCGCAGAAAGGUGUCAAUUGGCAAUGAUGAUGAUUCUGAACCAGCCACUUCUAGAAAAACUGGGGUAUUGGAGCCUAGGAAUGAGCUGCAGCGCAUAUCGUAUCAGAAAAUUCCUCAGACGACCGUUAAUGAACAGAUCGGAAAUGGAUCUCCCAUAAAUUCACUUACUUCUUCUCCACCACUUGAACAUAUGAAAAUAUCCUUCAACCCUUUAGAUGGAUUUGGGACUUCCAAACUCAAAUUGCAAUUUCCUGAUGGGAAUCAUUAUCAUGAAAACAUUAGAGACAUGUUUCCUUCAUUUCAGUUGGUCCCAGUGCCUGCUAUUUCAGCUCAUGGUGUUGCUUCAGACUCUGAUGAUGAUACUUUCUGCAGAUCAUCCCCUUAUAUGUCUGAUGACUGCCUUAGUCAUUGCUCUGAGUCAAAUUCUGAGCAGUGGGAAUCUGGUGAAGCACCUGAAAGCAAUGAUCCUGCGCUGCAUGAUGCAUUAAGCAGAUUGUCAUCGAUGGAAUCUGUUUCAAGCUGUUUACAAGUUAGGGGAGCAGCCAAUAAUGGCAUCUGUGUUAAUGGGGGAAAUAAAAAACCUAUAGCACCGGGGUCUAGUGCAGCAGAACCAUCUCUAUCUAUGCCACUCGAUCUCCCAGGUUUUGAUGUCAUUAACCCUGUACUGCAUGAUGAAACCGAAAGUAAUUCUGAUCAAAAGAAUCAGGUAAAAUUGCAAAAUGCAAUGCAGCUCAAACCAUUGCCUCCACCUCCCCCCCCUGCACAAUGGCGGGUUUCAAAACCCUGCUUCAACGAGGCAGAAGAAAGACAACAUGCUUUAUCAGAGUCACUGAGACAUGAGCUUGAUCUGAAACUUCUUAGUUCUUUUGUCUCUCAGAAGCCUGAGCCAGCUUUAGUUAAUCAACAGAAAAUAAAUGAUAAGGCAAAUGCAUUGCAACCAGAGAAGAAGGUGGACGAAGAGAAAAAUAAUGGACAGAAAGGCGUAAGCCUGCUCAGUGGUGGCCGAGGGAUGGAUGAAAAGGAAGAUUUCUUGCAUCAGAUCAGAACUAAAUCUUUCAACCUAAGACCCACAGCCACUGCAAGACCAACUGUUAUUUCUGGUCCCACUGCAAAUGUCCAGGUCACUGCAAUUUUGCAGAAAGCAAAUGCAAUUCGCCAGGCUGUUGGGAGUGAUGACGAUGAUAACUGGAGUGACAAUUAAUUAUUUUGGAAUACGAAUGCAGAAGACAAUCAGAAGUUCUCCCAGUCUUGGGUUUUCAAAUUUGGGGAAUUGUUAUUUCCUCUUAGGACUGAGGACGCGAGGUUAUUGCUACCGAAAAUUGCUUUACUAUUUUGGCACGUCAACUAGGAGUCAGAAAUUAUAAUGCAACUUGAUAUGGAUGAAUUGUGUGUAAGAAAGCAUUUCAGUUUGGCCGUUGAAUAUAAGGAAAGCUGGAUGUUGUGUCGUCGUUAGAACAUGGAUGUUGCCAAUUUAUGCAGCAAAUAAAGAAUGAUUACAAUUGCCCGUUUCUCCGUCUUGCUUGAAAGUGUAAUUUUCAGCGGCAACAAAAACAGGGAUUAGCAGUGCCGGUUAAUUGCGUGCACAGUAGCCACUAACUUGGUUUUGAAUCAUCAUUACUUUGUUUUUCUUGUGUUUUGCAUUCAAAUAUUUAAUUUAAUUAAACCGUUUCGGGAGUGUUUCAAUACAAAAGGUAAAUGAUUAGAAUAUUGAGUUUUUUC